UACUGAGGGUGCAAGCGUUAAUCGGAAUUACUGGGCGUAAAGCGAGUGUAGGCGGCUAUUUAAGUCGGAUGUGAAAGCCCCGGGCUCAACCUGGGAAUUGCAUUCGAUACUGAAUAGCUAGAAUUUAGUAGAGGUAAGUGGAAUUCCGGGUGUAGCGGUGAAAUGCGUAGAUAUCCGGAGGAACAUCAGUGGCGAAGGCGGCUUACUGGACUAAAAUUGACGCUGAGGCUCGAAAGCGUGGGGAGCAAACAGG
rnacentral:rRNA from 1 species